rnacentral:ncRNA from 1 species
AUAAAUUUUUUAUGAUUUAUAAAAUUUAUUAUAAAUUUAUUUUACAUACAAAUUUUAGUAUGAAUUUUUAAUUAUUUAAAUAAUAAUUAAUAAUUUUAGUAGUAAUUAGAUUUAAAUAUUUAAGAAAUUAAGAUUUAGUAAUAUUUAAAUUAAUAACAAAUUUUGUGCCAGCAGUUGCGGUUAUACAAAAAUUGAAUUGAAUUUUUUCAGUAUAUAAUAAAUAAUUAAUUAUUAAAAUAAAUAUAAAAUUAUUAGGUGAAAUUUUAAUUUUAUAAAAUUUUAUAAAAAAAUUAUGAUUUAAUAAAUUUAUGAAUAAACUAGGAUUAGAUACCCUAUUAUAAAAUUUUAAUUUAAAAUACUAAAAUAGUAGAUAAUAAUUUAUUGAAACUUAAAUAAUUUGGCGGUAUUUUAGUUCAUUUAGAGGAAUCUGUUUAAUAAUUGAUAAUCCACGAAUAAAUUUACUUAAUUUAAAAUUUUGUAUAUCGUUGUUAAAAAAAUAUUUUUAAAUAAUAAUAAUAUUUUAAAAUUUUAAAAAAAGUUAAUUCAGAUCAAGAUGCAGAUUAUAAUUAAGAAUAUAAUGGAUUACAAUAAAUUUAUUUAAAUGGAAAUAUAUUUUGAAAAAAAUAAUUGAAGGUGGAUUUAAAUGUAAUUUUAUUUAAUUUAAUAAGAUGAUUAAUAAUUAAAAUAUGUACAUAUUGCCCGUCACUUCAUUAAAAAUGAAAUAAGUCGUAACAAAGUAGAGGUACUGGAAAGUGUUUCUAGAAUGA